UCUGGUCUCUUCUGAUGCAUCCGCAAGGUGAGGCAUGUAUAUGACAUGCUGGAAGUAUAUUAAGGUCGGCCAAGGUUUUUGUUCUUUCUACUGCAGUGACCAGAGAGGAGGCAGCUUAUGCAGCAGAGAGAUAAACGCUGAUCUUUGGGACAGGCAGUCAACCCUUUACAGGUCUGGCGUGACCCCUGGGAAAGCUGGUCAUCCCUGAUUACACAGGAUGGUUCGGGACACAGCUGGUAACUCCUAACUACCCAGGACAGGCUGGGACAUAGCUGGUAUUCUCUGACUACCCAGGACGGUCUGGGGGCAUAGCUGGUAAUACCUAACUACCCAGGACGGUCUGGGACAUGACUGGUAAUCCCUGACUACCCACGACAGUCUGGGGCAUAUCUGGUAAUACCUGACUAUCCAGGGCUGUCCGGGGCAUAGCUGGUAUUCUCUGACUACCCAGGUGGUCCGGGGCAUAGCUGGUAUUCUCUGACUACCCAGGACAGUCUGGGGACAUAGCUGGUAAUUCCUGAGUACUCGGGACAAUCUGGAGCAUAGUUGAUGCCUCCUAACUAUCCAGUACAGUUUGGGGCACAACUGGUAUUCCCUAACUACCUAGGACAGUUUGGGCAUAGCUGAUAUUCCCUGACUGCCCAGCAUAGUCUGGGGCACAGCUGGUACACCAUAACUCCCCAGGAUGAUCUGGCCAUAGGUUUCUGAGUUACCAGGGAUGCUAGAAUACUCGGAGAGCUGAACUUGAUGUACUCUUGACAGUCUGGGAAGUCAGUGCCUAGGAGACAGCCUCACUGAGAGAAAAGGCAUAUGCUCGCCUUGUCCUCCUGCCCUCAUCCACAGUCCCUGAUGUCUACAGCAAGCUUCCUGGCUCCCCUAGUCCCCUGUCUCGGCCGAGGAAGGGGAGAGAGUUCAAUAGGAGGCUAAAAUGUGGCAUUGAUUCCCAUCUGACCUUGGAGGCCAUCUUAAAUGGAUGACAUUGGAAAGGAGGAGAUUAUUCUCCCUGCAGAGGUCAAGGCUGCAUUUGAUCUGAAUUAUUACUGUCCUGACCCCGUCCUUCCCUUGCAAAACCUGGAACUGAUUCUGUGGGUGGCUUUUUAAAAAUUUAAAGUGGUCAGAAAUGUUUCCAGUUCUGUGUUCUCUUGUGGAUUGUUGCAAACAUGUGUUGGGGGCUGAGCAAAAACUCCAACCAGGGUAGCAGCAGGCUUAGUCUAAUCUAACCUUUGUUCUUGCUUUGUCUGAGACUGAGGCAAAACAAAAACAACAAGAAUAAAAAAAAAAUCAAAAAACAAAAUCAAAAAACCAGAAGAGUCUCUUCUAGUUUCUUGUAUUUUAAUACCCAUUUCUCUUUUUCUUGUCUCAAUUGGAAAUGGCCUGGAGCGAACUUCUUAGGGCCAAUGGGUGUAUCGUUGGCUUCUGUGAAGUCGGGCAAGGCUUCCUGGGCCUCCUUGGUCCUCUCUCCCCAAAAGCAGCAUUCCAAAGCUGUGUGCACAUAGGCUGUGAUUCCUGACCUUGGUACCCCAGGACUGUCUGUGUCCUCUGAGGUAUUCUGGAAGCCGCUGUCUACUCACCAGGCCUUCUCCUUUCUCUGUUCCACAGGGACUGCGGCUCUUCUCAUCCAGCCUGGGUGAUGGGAUCCAUUCUCUGUCCAAUAGCCAGAGGACACUGUGGAGGACCUAUUGUGUUCCCAAGACAUUAAGUCAACUGCUGGCUGUGCCCUUUCCCUGCCACCAUCAUUUGUGGGUUCUGGAAAUUUCUUCGCCAUGGCCCCAGGAUCUUCAGCUUCAGCCAAAAUGCUGAUCUUUUUUUUUAAAGUUUACUUCUUGGCUACAUCCCUCUCAACCCCAGCUCUGCACAUUUUGUUCCCUCUCCUCUUUCAUCCAGGCAAGCCUCCUCUUCUCUGGACAGGGAGUGUCCUCAUGAACAACAGAAUCCCAGAAAAAAAAAAUAAAGAGAAAGUGGCUGAAGAGUCAAGGGGAGCGAAGGCAGAACGGUUGUCUGGAGCGUUAUUGGUUCUGGGCCUCCAGUGCUUGCCAAGUGAGGCAGAGCAGUUCACAGAGCUCUGAGAUUAGUGAGAGAAACACCUGGCAAAAGCUGGGGUAAGCAGAACUCAGCACAGCGAAGUAUUGAAGUAUUGAAAAUUCCAUUCCAGGUACAGAGGGAAGCGUGUGGUAACGGUUAUUCUACCAAACAUCAGACAUGGUUUGCGUUGGUUUGCCUUCGUUGCUUUUACCUUUGCAAGGACAAGAAAAAUGAUGCAGGGAGCUGAUGGCUUGUCCUUGGUUCUGUCCACUAGGCUAAGCUCUGCGUGCUCCAAAAACCUUGGGAGAGAGUAAGAAAGAUAUGUUGGGCAUUGCAAGAUAAAGACCAGAGUUAUUAGGAAAGAAGAACAACACAUGCCUAGGAGAUUCAGCAACCCCUGAAAGGCAGCAUCUCCAGAAGGAGUACCUGCCUGCGCGGCCCACUUGCAAGCUCAGGUUUGGAGAUGGAUUCGAUGAGACACAGCAGGAACAGGCCAACCCUCUGAAGGGUGUCAGAGAAACAGGAUAACAGUCAGCUGUGGAUUGUGAAAUGUGCAAAACAACAAAACGCACCAGUUGGAAUAAAGGAAUGGCAAGAAGUGGGAGCCAGCACUUAGGAAAGAUUGUGUAACGGAUGAGGAAACUAGCCACCGCCUAAACCACAAGGACUUCUGGGAUCAUCUUGUCGGCAUUCACCACGUGACUUCAUAGUUUCUCUUGCAAGAGGCGUGGGUUGCAUUUUCCCAUCUUUGAUUUAGCUUGAGGGCAGUGGGACGGGACGGCCAUUGCAGAGAGCCUAUUAACAGCCUAGACAGAAUGUCUCUGCCUUCUUCUGCCUCUCUAUCACCACGAGGAUGGGCCGUGGUGAGUUGUUCUGACAUGGACAGGAGCUGUAAGGCAGAGGAUGGCUUUGAUGACCCAUAGACCCCAGCUGGAGCCAGAGCCACGAGCACAGCGCGGUAGCUGGAAGGAGGGUUGCACCAGCUGAGCCUGGGCAGGACCAGACAUGCUGAUCCAUCUCCAGUACAGAAUAUACUUAUGUUUCAAGUUUUAAGGCUGUUUAUUGGCAACAUUUUUUUGUUGCGUUGGUUAUAAUUAUGUAAAUAAUAACCAAAUUACAAAUGUCAUUUUUUCCAUGAAGGAGAAAUAUGAAUAUAAUAAUGAAAUAAGCUGACUUUAUCUAGGCACGAAGAAAAGGUUUUUCUAAAAAUUUGAGGGCCAGUGGAUAAAGACACCUGCUACCAAGUUUGACAACCUGAGUUAGGUUCUUAGAACCCAUAUGGUAGGAGAAAACGGAUUCUUACAAGAUUUCCUCUGACUUCUACAUGAGCGCUGAGGCAUGUAUAUAUAUAAAUAUAUAUAUUUACAUACAAGUGUAUCCUCCCUCCCCUCCACACAUGAUAAAAUGAAAAUAAUGUUUUAGGGGCUUAAGAGAUGACAAUUCUGUGGUUAAGAACACUUGUUACUGCUCUAGAAGACACAAGUUUUAUUCUUUGCACACCCCGGGCAAUGACCAAUUCUUGGAUAUUUAGCACACUUUUCUGGUCCUUGUGGGCACCAGAUACACAUGUAGUACACAUGCAUGCUUGUAGGCAAACACAUGUACACGUAAAAAUAAAUCUAGGAAAAGCAAAAGAACAAGCUAACACUUAAGCUGAGAUCCCAAAUCUUCACAGGAAUCAAAUGGUAGGCGCUAACUCACUGAGCCAUGUUAGAACGAGAACACAUCUGGCUGCUGUAGAGAGCAGGACUGAUAUGAUGAAUAAAUUAAAGGAACAAUCGUUAGAUUGGCUUACAGCCAUCAGAGCGGUGGGCCCAACAGUGGCCGUCUUCACACCAGAGAGGCUUCGAGUAUGGGAGCUUCUCAAUCCAUGAGACUGAAUGCCUCAGCAGUCCCAACUGAAGUCCAGAAGAUGACUGGAGAGUCGUGGCUCGUCUUCUGUCCACAUUGGGUGGCCAACAGAGCUACUUUUGACAUCAGCAAAAAAUGCAGCAGCAGCAACAGAGUAGGUGAACUCACCAUCAAGAUAUAAAGGCAAAGAGGCAAAAACCAAAGCUUUCAAGCACUGCAAGCCUCUUCGACCAUUGCUUCCUGGUUUCUGUGGAGUGCCUACGGAGACUGUUGUGCCCUCAGACAUGCCAGAGUGUGUGACGGAUGGGUCAUAGAAGGCUAGCAGCAUGUACAGAAACAACCUAUGGUAGAGGAGCUUCCAGACUGUCUUAGACAUCAGAACCAAGUGGUGUUUCUUUACAAACAUUGUAAGCGUGAGAGCCUUGGACAAAGAGCAGUCUACAGGCUGAACCUUGGUGGGAAGAACGUAAGCGUUGGUUCAGGAUGCACUAGACUUCAAAGAACGAGCAAGGUCAGGAGCAGACAGGAGCUGGACGUGCAACCUGGAUCUGUUAGCUUGUACAUGUUUGGGAAGGCUCUCUACUGGUUAUAGAAACAUCUUGUCCUCUGCACACCUUACUAGAGUCCGUCUGAAGGACUACAGCAAAUUCACCAGAGGCAGUGACAGCUCAGGAUGAUGGACAAGCUGUACCUGGCCCGGAUCAGCUUCGUUUUCUUCUUGUGGUCCACAUCCAUGGGAGGAGGGGAGGAACGACUUUACUGGACCAUUUAUGUGACGAACCUGUGGUGUCUGGUCAGCCAGAAACGAAGAAUUGGCUGUUAUUAAGAGACCAGCAUCACUAAGGCGAAGUCUUCUUGGAAGUGUUUCCUCAGGGUCAGCACACAGAAGCUGUGUCCCCAAAGCAUCCAAGGCUGUACCUGGCAUUAGCGGGUGAAUUUGGUGCUAUAAGAGUCACUCAGGUGGUACUGGUUUUGAAGGCAUGAGGAGUCAUGGAGAACAACUGGGGCUUGGCACUGUGCCCAGAAGAGAGCCCAGGAGAGGCUACUGGUAAAAGGACAGCCCACUUGUAGCAAGAGACCCCAGAAUUUUGGAGAUGGCAGUACCAUGGAAUGACCACCAAGAACAGCAGCAGGGAUGGAAUGGAGCCUAGAAGAAGCCUCUGUGUGUGCUGCAGAGGGCGGAGCUGGAGAAAUAACCCAAGCCCCUUAGAGGAGCCCAGAAGAUGGUGAAUAUAUCUCAGAUAAUCGGACAUUGAUUUAUUUGUGCUGUUGGACUUCGCUUUUUGCUUUAAUCUGUUUGUGACUGUACCCUGGAUUUCCCACUUGAAGUAAGAAUUUAACUUAACUUUUAUUUGUGCAGAAACCCACAGUUGAGAGAUUUUGAACUUUUUAAAGAGAUUUUGGAUUUUGAAAGAGACCGGAUUGUUUGAAAGCACUGAACUUUUAAUGUGUUUGAAUUUGUAAAGGCUGUGGGACUUUUAAAGUUAUUUAUGUUUUUAAUGUAAGACCUUGGGGGAUGAGUGAGAAAGCAAAGGUUGUGGUUUAACAGUGAUGUGCUUUAAUGUCAAGUUGACAAGGGGUCAGUUGUGCUGGAUAAUUUUAUGUCAACUUGACAUCUGAGAGGCAGGAACCUCCAUCAAGAAACUGCUUCCAUAAGAUUUGACUGUAGACAAGCCUGUAGGGUGUUUUCUUAAUUAAUUAUUGAUGGGGGAGGGCCCAACCCAUAGUUGGUGGUGCCACCCUGGCCUGCUUGUCCUGGGUUCUAUAAGAAAGCAGGCUGAGCAAGUCCAUGAGGAGCAAGUCAGUAAGCAGCACCCCCUCCAUGGCCUCUGCACCAGCUCCUGCCACCAGGUUCCUGCCCUGCUUGAGUUCCUGUCCUUUUCAUGAUGAUCUGCUAUAAGACAAUGUGAAUGAGAUAAGCCCUUUCCUUCCCAAGUUGCUUUUGGUCAUGGUGUUUUUCCACAGUUAUAGUGACCCUGACUAAGACAGUUUCUGUUGGUUGUCUAGAGCCAGAUAGUAAAUCAGGUGACACCAUGUUUCUUCUAUGUGGCUGUGAGCAGAACACCUGGAUAAUCAAGGAAACUUGAAGAUGGCUUUAAUUUAGCUCUUGACUGCAGAGGGCUCAGUCCAUGUUAUUUGGGACCACAAGGUUGAGCAGAAUAUAUAUAUUAAGCUGAAGCAGUUUUAUUGCAAUCUUUCAAAAUUAGCAUUACAGAAAAUAUUUAUAUCCACAAAACUUGUCUUAAUCUACAGUACGGCUAUUUCAAAAGUAGUUAAAUUUAAUUAACAAUUAAGAAGAUAACAUAAUAUUACGAUGGCAGAAGGGAGAGGUGCAGGAAUUUAUUUACCUCAUGGUCAACAGGGAGCUGAGUGAGGCCUUCACAGCAAGGAUCUAGAGCAGGAGAUAGUCCCUAAAGUCAACCUCCAGCGACCUACUUCCUCCCACCACCUUCAGGUCCCACCCUUUGCAGCUUCACCACUUCCCAGGGUUCAAUCACUCAUCCCUGAGUUAGACCAGAGGUUCUCAACCUUCCUAAUGUUGCAACCCUUUAAUAAAGACAGUUCCUCAUGUUGUGGUGACCCCCAACCAUAAACUGAUUUUUUUAAAUUUCAUAACUGUAAUUUUGCUAUUGUUAUGAAUCACACUAUGAGUAUCUGUGUUUUCUGGUGGUCUUAGGUGACCCCUGUGAAGGGUCUUUUGAUCCCCAGGUUGAGAACCACUGGACUAAACCAUUCAUGAGAUCAGAGCCCUCUAGUCUUUGGAGACCAGAGGUGUGCUUUACUAACCUGGUUCUGCCUUAGGCUAAGAAGUGACAAGAUUUUGCUUGUCAUGUCUCAUCUGCUCAGGGAUUUUCCUUAGCAUUCCCAGGGCUGAGGCAGGUGGAGACAUUAGCCUUAGGGCUGUCAGGAGUAGUGUUUGUGGUACCCCGAGGAAAAGAGUUUUCAUACAGCUUUUAUAAAUUAGUUUCUGACUGACACGGGCUUAUUAAGUACCAAGGUGGUAGUGUCUAAACCCAAGCCCCCGUCUGCAGGGAUCAACUUGAAGUGGAAACAGUUUUGAUGGCCUGUGUCUAAAUUGGCCCUGUGUCUCUGCA